AGGAUGAACGCUGGCGGCGUGCCUAAAACAUGCAAGUCAUACGGGCUACCUUCGGGUAGCCAGUGGCAAACGGGUGAGUAACACGUGGGAACGCGCCUUGGGUGGGAAUAACGCUGAGAAAUCAGUGCUAAUACCGCAUAUGGUCUAACGACUAAAGCAGCAAUGCGCCCCGAGAGCGGCCCGCGACCGAUUAGCUAGUUGGUGGGGUAAUGGCCUACCAAGGCGGUGAUCGGUAGCUGGUCUGAGAGGAUGGUCAGCCACACUGGGACUGCGAACGGCCCAGACUCCUACGGGAGGCAGCAGUUAGGAAUUUUUCGGCAAUGGACGAAAGUCUGACCGAGCGACGCCGCGUGGAGGAUGACGCCUUUCGGGGUGUAAACUCCUUUCUGCGGGAAGAUAAUGACGUACCGCAGGAAUAAGCACCGGCUAACUACGUGCCAGCAGCCGC
rnacentral:rRNA from 1 species